GAUGAACGCUGGCGGCGUGCCUAAUACAUGCAAGUCGAGCGAACAGACGAGGAGCUUGCUCCUCUGACGUUAGCGGCGGACGGGUGAGUAACACGUGGAUAACCUACCUAUUUGACUGGGAUAACGUCGGGAAACCGGAGCUAAGACCGGAUAAUAUAUUGAACCGCAUGGUCCAAUAGUGACAGACGGGUUGGCUGUUACUUAUGCAUGGAGCCGCGCCGCUGUAGGUAGUUGGGAAGGUAACGGCUUACCAAGGGAACGAUGCGUAGCCGACGUGAGAGGGUGAUCGGCCAGACGAGAACUGAGACACGCACCAGACUCCUACGGCAGGCAGCAGUCGGGAAUCUUCCGCAAUGGGCGAAAGCCUGACACAGCAACGCAGCGUGAGUGACGACGGCCUUCGGAUCGUGAAGCUCUGUUAUUAGGGAAGAACCAAUGUGAGCGUAGAUAUGCACGUCGUGACGGUACCUAAACAGAAAGCCACGGCUAACUACGUG
rnacentral:rRNA from 1 species